rnacentral:rRNA from 1 species
AGAGUACGUGAAACCGUUCAGGGGUAAACCUGAGAAACCCAAAAGAUCGAAUGGGGAGAUUCAUCGUCAGCGACGUUGGCUUCCGUGCGGCUCGCGAUGGUCGGGACUUCGGUCUCGCGCCACGCGGUCGCCGCGGUAUGUCCGGGGUCGUCGGCGUGCACUUCUCCCCUAGUAGGACGUCGCGACCCGUUGGGUGUCGGACCAAUGGCCGGUCGGGUCGUCUGCUUUCACCUUCCCGGCGCGAGCAGACCGAUCGGUUUAACGUCCGACUGCCCGGCGGUAUAGAACGCUUAAUCACGGUAUUGGGUCGCAACUCGAAUGCGUUCAGGCUCGUCGGCAGGCUCGUCUCGCUCGGAUUUACGGACCUAGCGCCGUUGCCGGGCGCUUGGCGCGGCUGUUAGUCGACGGUGUCCUCGGACUGGCCCUUACCUGUCUGCGACGCUACUGCUUUGGGUACUUUCAGGACCCGUCUUGA